UACAGAGGUCUCAAGCGUUGUUCGGAUUCAUUGGGCGUAAAGGGUGCGUAGGCGGCGCGGUAAGUCGGGUGUGAAAUCUCGGAGCUUAACUCCGAAACUGCAUUCGAUACUGGCGUGCUUGAGGACUGGAGAGGAGACUGGAAUUCAUGGUGUAGCAGUGAAAUGCGUAGAGAUCAUGAGGAAGACCAGUGGCGAAGGCGGGUCUCUGGACAGUUCCUGACACUGAGGCACGAAGGCCAGGGGAGCAAACGGG
rnacentral:rRNA from 1 species